GUGCUCACUUCGGCAGCAUGUAUACUAAAAUUGGAACGAUACAGAGAAGAUUAGCAUGGUCUCUGUGCAAGGAUGACAUGCAAAUUCAUGAAGCGUUCCAUAUUUUU
rnacentral:snRNA from 1 species